AUCUUCAUAAUUUUUUUUGCGGUGUCGUCUUUCUCAAAAACCCUUGCAACUUCGGAAAUCACCGUCGCCGUCUCUAUCUCUCAAAACCUCUCAAUUUUGCAUCGUUGUCUCCCUCCGCCGUCCCCCUCUCGCAAACUCUCCCUCACAAUUUUGAGUCGACUUUCCCUAUCCCUUGCGAACACUCCAGCCGAAGGUGAAACGGUUUACAACCUUGAAUUUUCACAACUACACAGCCAAAGGUGAAUCGCUCCAGCCGAGGUUCCUCAAGUUGUUGGCCUCUCUCUCGGAGACGCUUCAGUCGCCAUUUGAAGGAGACCAAACCGUCUGAUGCUUCUCCUCCCUCCUAUGUCCAUUUUGCAUCAUCGUCAAUUCGUUCGAUUGUUUGAUUAUUUGAAUCAAUUCGGUUCACUUUCUUCAAAUUUGUAAGUAAUUAAAGAAUCCGUGGACCAUCGAUCAAGCUCAUUUAUUCGCCAGUUUGAUUAGAUUAUAAAGUCACACAUACAUGUAAUAUUAUAGUUAAUUUAUCUUUUGGAUUAUUGUAGAACUUUUACCAACAAUGUAAUUACAUUUUUUAUUAUCAAUAUAAAAAUCUUUCUAA